UGAAUACGAGAUGCUACGGCGUCGAAGCAGUCUAUGUCAUACUUCCAAGAAAAGCUUGCACUGUCAUAAACAAAUAAUGCCUGUACCAUAACCGACACAGGUGGGUAGGUAGAGUAUACUAAGGGGCGCGAGAUAACUCUCUCUAAGGAACUCGGCAAAAUGACUCCGUAACUUCGGGAGAAGGAGUGCCUUAUUUAUAAGGUUGCAAUAACAAGAUCCAAGCAACUGUUUACCAAAAACACAGGUCUCCGCUAAGUCGUAAGACGAUGUAUGGGGGCUGACGCCUGCCCAGUGCCAGAAGGUUAAAGAAGUUGGUUAGCAUCCGCGAAGCUGAUAACUGAAGCCCUGGUGAACGGCGGCCGUAACAAUAACGGUCCUAAGGUAGCGAAAUUCCUUGUCGGGUAAGUUCCGACCCGCACGAAAGGCGUAAUGAUUUGGAUACUGUCUCGGAGAGGGGCUCGGUGAAAUAGACUUGUCUGUGAAGAUGCGGACUACCUGCACCAGGACAGAAAGACCCUAUGAAGCUUUACUGUAACCUGAAAUUGAAAUUGGACUUUACUUGCGCAGUAUAGGUGGGAGGCGUUGAGAAUAUUCUUGCGGGAUUAUUGGAGCCAUCAGUGAGAUACCACUCUUGUAAUGUUAGAUUUCUAACUUUGUAUCAUUAUCUGGUCAAAGAACAGUUUCAGGCGGGCAGUUUGACUGGGGCGGUCGCCUCCUAAACGGUAACGGAGGCGCACAAAGGUUUCCUCUGAACGGGUAGAAAUCGUAUCUAGAGUGUAAAGGCAUAAGGAAGCUUGACUGUGAGACCUACAAGUCGAGCAGGGACGAAAGUCGGUCUUAGUGAUCUGACGGUGCUGAGUGGAAAGGCCGUCACUCAACGGAUAAAAGUUACUCUAAGGAUAACAGGCUGAUCUCCCCCAAGAGUUCACAUCGACGGGGAGGUUUGGCACCUCGAUGUCGGCUCAUCGCAUCCUGGGGCGGUAGUACGUCCCAAGGGUUGGGCUGUUCGCCCAUGAAAGCGGUACGCGAGCUGGGUUCAGAACGUCGUGAGACAGUUCGGUCCAUAUCCGGUGUAGGCGUUAGAAUAUUGAGAGGAGCCUUCUUUAGUACGAGAGGACCGAGAAGGACAUACCUCUGGUGUACCAGUUAUCGUGCCAACGGUAAACGCUGGGUAGCUAUGUGUGGAGUGGAUAACCGCUGAAAGCAUCUAAGUGGGAAGCCCACCUCAAGAUAAGUAUUCUC
rnacentral:rRNA from 1 species